rnacentral:rRNA from 1 species
GGGUGAGUAAUGUAUCGGAACGUACCUUUCAGUGGGGGAUAACGUAGCGAAAGUUACGCUAAUACCGCAUAUUCUGUGAGCAGGAAAGCAGGGGAUCGCAAGACCUUGCGCUGAUUGAGCGGCCGAUAUCAGAUUAGCUAGUUGGUGGGGUAAAGGCCUACCAAGGCUACGAUCUGUAGCGGGUCUGAGAGGAUGAUCCGCCACACUGGAACUGAGACACGGUCCAGACUCCUACGGGAGGCAGCAGUGGGGAAUUUUGGACAAUGGGGGCAACCCUGAUCCAGCCAUGCCGCGUGAGUGAAGAAGGCCUUCGGGUUGUAAAGCUCUUUCGGCCGGGAAGAAAUCGCAUCAGCUAAUACCUGGUGUGGAUGACGGUACCGGAAUAAGAAGCACCGGCUAACUACGUGCCAGCAGCCGCGGUAAUACGUAGGGUGCGAGCGUUAAUCGGAAUUACUGGGCGUAAAGCGUGCGCAGGCGGUUGUGUAAGACAGGCGUGAAAUCCCCGGGCUCAACCUGGGAACUGCGCUUGUGACUGCACAGCUAGAGUACGGCAGAGGGGGGUGGAAUUCCACGUGUAGCAGUGAAAUGCGUAGAGAUGUGGAGGAACACCGAUGGCGAAGGCAGCCCCCUGGGCCGAUACUGACGCUCAUGCACGAAAGCGUGGGUAGCAAACAGGAUUAGAUACCCUGGUAGUCCACGCCCUAAACGAUGUCAACUAGGUGUUGGGUGGGUAAAACCAUUUAGUACCGUAGCUAACGCGUGAAGUUGACCGCCUGGGGAGUACGGCCGCAAGGUUAAAACUCAAAGGAAUUGACGGGGACCCGCACAAGCGGUGGAUGAUGUGGAUUAAUUCGAUGCAACGCGAAAAACCUUACCUACCCUUGACAUGUCCAGAAGCCCGGAGAGAUUUGGGUGUGCCCGAAAGGGAACUGGGACACAGGUGCUGCAUGGCUGUCGUCAGCUCGUGUCGUGAGAUGUUGGGUUAAGUCCCGCAACGAGCGCAACCCUUGUCGUUAAUUGCCAUCAUUUAGUUGGGCACUUUAACGAGACUGCCGGUGACAAACCGGAGGAAGGUGGGGAUGACGUCAAGUCCUCAUGGCCCUUAUGGGUAGGGCUUCACACGUCAUACAAUGGUCGGUACAGAGGGUUGCCAAGCCGCGAGGUGGAGCCAAUCCCAGAAAGCCGAUCGUAGUCCGGAUUGCAGGCUGCAACUCGCCUGCAUGAAGUCGGAAUCGCUAGUAAUCGCGGAUCAGCAUGUCGCGGUGAAUACGUUCCCGGGUCUUGUACACACCGCCCGUCACACCAUGGGAGCGGGUUCCGCCAGAAGUAGGUAGCCUAACCGCAAGGAGGGCGCUUACCACGGCGGGGUUCGUGAGCUGGGGUG